AGCCCCGAGGUGUUCACAUGUAGGAUUGCAAAUCCUAAGUUGUAGAUUGAGUCUGCCGGGGCUU
rnacentral:tRNA from 1 species